GAUGAACGCUGGCGGCGUGCCUAAUACAUGCAAGUCGAGCGCACAGACGAGGAGCUUGCUCCUCUGACGUUAGCGGCGGACGGGUGAGUAACACGUGGAUAACCUACCUAUAAGACUGGGAUAACUUCGGGAAACUGGAGCUAAUACUGGAUAAUAUAUUGAACCGCAUGGUUCAAUAGUGAAAGGCGGUUAUUGUGUUUCGUAUAGCUGGCUGCUUACCGUAUUAGCUAGUUGGUAAGGUAACGGCUUACCAAGGACACGAAGCGUAGCCGACCUGGGAGGGGGGUCGCCCGCCCGGGAGCUUGGACGCGCACCCUGCGCCUGCGAGAGGGCGCAGUCGGGAACGGGACGCAGCGGGCGAAAGCCUGGCGGAACAGGGCGGCGUGAGUGAUGAAGGUCUUCGGUGCGGAAUACCCGCUUAUGAGGUAAGAACAAAUGUGAAAGUAAAUAAGGCCGUCUUGACGGUACCUGAUCAGAAAGCCACGGCUAACUACGUG
rnacentral:rRNA from 1 species